ACAAGGAGGAGAUGACUUCUAAGGGCUCCACUGGAAUAGAAGUUAUCCUGUCAGCCCUAGAGGUAAAACCUUCCGAUCUGUGUGGUUAUGGAAUACAAAAGAUCCUCAAAGUAUUCGAAAUAUAUUGAAUAUCCUCAUUGAGAUUGUGUCAGUUGGUGGCGGUCAGAGGGCAGGCGUCUUAGUCACUAAAGGAGGGACACAGAUCUUAUUGCAGUUGCUUUUGACUGCCAGCAAAGACUCUCCACCAACUGGAGAAUUAAUGGUGCUUCUUCAUACUCUUCUUGCAAAAAUUGGUCCAAAAGACAAAAAGAUUGGCAUGAAAGCAAGAAUUAAUGGUGCCCUAAACAUAUCAUUGAAUUUAGUGAAGCAGAAUUUGCAAAACCACAGGCUAAUAUUGCCAUGUCUUCAAGUAUUAAGAGUUUACUCAACCAACUGUAAGUACUGCUGAUAGUUCUUUUUUUUCCCAUGUGAUACAAAAGUUUUUACCUAGAUACAGUUGAAACAUCCGAUCUACAUGCUUGUUCAAUGUUAGAUGUUUAAAAUAAUUAUUUU